rnacentral:rRNA from 1 species
CUGCGAAUGGCUCAUUAUAUAAGUUAUCGUUUAUUUGAUAGUACCUUACUACUUGGAUAACCGUGGUAAUUCUAGAGCUAAUACAUGCUAAAAAUCCCGACUUCGGAAGGGAUGUAUUUAUUAGAUUAAAAACCAAUGCCCUUCGGGGCUCACUGGUGAUUCAUGAUAACUUCUCGAAUCGCAUGGCCUUGUGCCGGCGAUGGUUCAUUCAAAUUUCUUCCCUAUCAACUUUCGAUGUUUGGGUAUUGGCCAAACAUGGUUGCAACGGGUAACGGAGGGUUAGGGCUCGACCCCGGAGAAGGAGCCUGAGAAACGGCUACUACAUCCAAGGAAGGCAGCAGGCGCGCAAAUUACCCAAUCCCGACACGGGGAGGUAGUGACAAUAAAUACUGAUACAGGGCUCUUUUGGGUCUUGUAAUUGGAAUGAGUACAAUUUAAAUCCCUUAACGAGGAACAAUUGGAGGGCAAGUCUGGUGCCAGCAGCCGCGGUAAUUCCAGCUCCAAUAGCGUAUAUUAAAGUUGUUGUGGUUAAAAAGCUCGUAGUUGAACCUUGGGCCUGGCUGGCCGGUCCGCCUCACCGCGUGUACUGGUCCGGCCGGGCCUUUCCCUCUGUGGAACCCCAUGCCCUUCACUGGGUGUGGCGGGGAAACAGGACUUUU